GCCCGCUGUAGUCAGGCCAGAGAUGAUGACUUUGCAGAUCCAUUUCUACCCACUGUGGAACUCAAGAUCAUUGAAUUCCCGAAUGAAAACAUCCUUCCUAUUGGCUA